rnacentral:snRNA from 1 species
AUACUUUUUUCGGACUUCCGGCUAAGAUCAAAGUGUAGUAUUUGUUCUUAUCAGCUUAAUAUCUGAUACGGUCCCUAUUUAGGGACCAUCGAUGUUAAAUUGAUUUUUAGAACGAGGCGAAGAGUUAGGGGCUUGCUCCGCCUUUGCCACGGGUUGGCCUGGUAUUGCAGUAGAAAAGGGCUGCCACUAAAUU